AGCGGGGUGGAGCAGCAGUAGCUCGUCGGGCUCAUAACCCGGAGGUCGCAGGUGCAAAUCCUGCCCCCGCAA
rnacentral:tRNA from 1 species